rnacentral:pre_miRNA from 1 species
GGGGGGAGGUCGGAUCCUGGGCUGUGUCCCGGCGCCCUGUGCUCCCGGGGCCUGCUCUGUUGGAUUCGCGCUCUGGCCGCUUAGCCCCCU